rnacentral:tRNA from 1 species
GAAUACCGGCCUGUCACGCCGGGGGUCGCGGGUUCGAGUCCCGUCCGCUGCG